GGUAAUACGUGGGCAGGAGGGUGGGUAAUAGGUAGGGUGCAGGGGUGUGCCGGAAUGAUUGGGCGUAAAGAGCGUGUAGGCGGCCCGAUUAGGCCGCUGUGAAAGUCCAGGGCUCAACCCUGGAAUGCCGGUGGAUACUGUCGGGCUAGAGUCCGGAAGGGGCGAGUGGAAUUCCUGGUGUAGCGGUGAAAUGCGCAGAUAUCAGGAGGAACACCGAUGGCGAAGGCAGCUCGCUGGGACGUGACUGACGCUGAGACGCGAAAGCGUGGGGAGCAAACAGGAUUAGAUACCCUUGUAGUC
rnacentral:rRNA from 1 species